CGGUUAAAAAGCUCGUAGUUGGAUUUCUGUCCGAGACGGCCGGUCCGCACUUAGUGCGUGUAUCUGGUUCGGCUAGGGCAUCCUCUUGGGGAUCGUUUCUGUGCUUUAUUGCAUGGGGCGGAAUUCAAGACUUUUACUUUGAGGAAAUUAGAGUGUUCACGGCAAGCAAUCGCUUUGAAUACAUUAGCAUGGAAUAAUAAUAUAGGGCGUAAGUUCUAUUUUGUUGGUUUCUAGGACAUACGCAAUGAUUAAUAGGGACAAUUGGGGGCAUUCGUAUUAACGCGUCAGAGGUGGAAUUCUUAGAUUGCGUUACGACGAACUACUGCGAAAGCAUUUGCCAAAGAUGUUUUCAUUGAUCAAGAACGAAAGUAUGGGGAUCGAAGACGAUUAGAUACCGUCGUAGUCUAUACCAUAAACUAUGCCAAUUAGAGAUUGGAGGUCGUUCGUUUAUGGCACCU
rnacentral:rRNA from 1 species